GAUGAACGCUGGCGGCGUGCUUAACACAUACAAGUCGAGCGAGUGAGUUUUUCGGAACGAUCUAGCGGCGGACGGGUGAGUAACACGUGGGCAACCUGCCUCAUAGAGGGGAAUAGCCUCCCGAAAGGGAGAUUAAUACCGCAUAAAAUUAUCGAGUGGCAUCACACGAUAAUCAAAGGAGUAAUCCGCUAUGAGAUGGGCCCGCGGCGCAUUAGCUAGUUGGUGAGGUAACGGCUCACCAAGGCGACGAUGCGUAGCCGACCUGAGAGGGUGAUCGGCCACAUUGGGACUGAGACACGGCCCAGACUCCUACGGGAUGCAGCAGUGGGGAAUAUUGCACAAUGGGGGAAACCCUGAUGCAGCAACGCCGCGUGAGUGAUGAAGGUCUUCGGAUUGUAAAGCUCUGUCUUUGGGGACGAUAAUGACGGUACCCAAGGAGGAAGCCACGGCUAACCACGUGCCAGCCGCCGCGGUAA
rnacentral:rRNA from 1 species